CAAAAUUUAUACAGGAGACGGAAAACUAGACGAAAACGCUUACAACAAAGCCUGCAAUACCGUCAUGGAACAUGACAACAUUUGUACUAGACCAGACACAUCUCUAUCUCUAUCUCUAUCUCUACUAUUUAUAAAGACACCAACAUAUUUUUUCCAAUGUCCACUCCACUAAACAUGCACAGACUACGAAUAGCCCCACAAUAAGACUUAUUGGACAUCUAACCGUGUGCGUUUAGUGAUUACCCGUCGAGAGGCUGAAUUCCACCCGGAGGAGAAUCUUCGGCCCCUCCACGAUCGAAUCGUUUUCUUUCUGUUCUCCCCUCGCAGCACCUCGAUUCAUCUUCCUCGUGGCGCAGCGCUCUGGUCCUCCCGCCGGUGACCUCCCCAGGGUUGCAGCUCCUCCCCCACCCGCCGCCAGAUAGCGCCUACAGCCCGCCGCCAGCUGGUCCAGUCUCGAACUCUCGAUCUCCGCCGGCGAGCAACCCUCCGACGCGCUGCUCCAUCCAGCGGUCCUCGAUCCCCAACGGCGCGGCUCCCUCCAGCGGACCUCCCCAGCGGCGCGGCUCCUCCGGUGGCCCUCUUCAGGCGUCUCGGCUCUCUACGGCACCCCACUCUUAGGCGGUGCCCCUUCCUCCAGCGCUAUCUUCUUCUCUUAUCUCUCUGCAAUUGCAGCUGCGGAGGUAUGCGACGCUGGCCGGAGGUGCCAGUUGACAUUUGUAUACGGGAUGGCCGGAGGUGCUUCGUGAAGUUCGUUCUAUCCGUUGAUUGAUGGCUAGAUAUGCUGGACGGAAGGACGUGUGGUUGUUUUCUCCUCAUGUCUCUGUUGAUUGAUGAUAAAUUAACACGUUGGUAUACAAUUAUAAUCCAUAGCAACAGAUUAUAUGUUGUCAAUAUUGUACUUUACGUUAAUCUUGAGAUGUUCAGUGCUUCAUAAAUAAUUUGUUGAUUUUUGUUUCUUGGUAAUUAUUCAAUUCAGAAUGAUGUGAAUUACACA